UCCAAUCCCGCACCCGCACCCGCUCGCCGAAACCCUAGCCGCCGCCGCCGCCCCCUCCCCGUCCCCUCCACCAAGAUCGCACCAACCACCCUGAUGGCCGUCGCCGCACGCCGCGGCGCUCCUGGACGCCCUCCCCCUUCUCCCCCAGAUCCCCCUUCUCCAUCGCCGCCUCCCCCUUCUCCCCCACAUCCAAUCGCCCUCGUCCCCCUCGUCCACCGGCCCCUUCCUCCCGUCACCACACCUCGCCGCCGGCCUCACUCCCCCCUCCUCUUCUCCGCCCCACCCCACUCCCUCCACGUACAGCGUCCACAGAGCCAGAACCGCCGUUCAUGGCCUCGCCCACGCCCUCCUUCUCUCGCACCUCACCUUCGCCGCAUACCUGCUGCAGCCCACCCCCAUCCUCAUCGUCUCCCCAAACCCUAGCCCCGCCCCGCGGCUCCUCGUCGUCCUCAUCUCCCCCGACUCCCUCGCUCUCCUCCCCUCCCCCCUGCAGCAGUCCCGCGCGCCCAUCCGCAUCUACCUCCACCCGUUGAGCAGCAGCAGGUCAGGCGGCGGCCAGAUCCGCCGCGUUGCUUCCGGAUCCGCGCCCUCGUCACGCGCGCUCGACACCAUGGAACUCGUCAACAAGGUCUUCUCUCGCCCUCUUCUCUUCUCCUUUCGAUUCGAUCUGGAUGUUGCUCACACAUGCCCGAUUUGUUUUUCUUCCUCACACAUGUCGUCGUCAAGCCCUCGAUCUGGCUGCGACCUCCAGCGCGCUCGCGCGGCUGAUGGGCAUAGGCUGGUCCAUGCACGCUGGUGAUGGCGGCUCACCAAGGUUGCCGUCGUCGCCUGGACGCACGAGGCACCCGACGACCUCCUCCAUCGCCAACCACCAGCACCCGUCUGGAGGAUUUGCGUUCUAUCCCCUCCCCCACAUGAACGACCUCCUGCCUGCAACCAUGACACGCACGGGAGAGCUCAGCUCGCCUUCAUGGGCGCCCUCUUGCUGGCCACCAUUAAGGCGCAUCAGUAGCAGAGGACCGGGCACGAGCUGCAGUACAGGUCUUGUACACGAGGAGGCCCUUGUGGUCGCUGCUGGAGGGCUGGAGCUUGGCGGCAGCCUGGCGGAUGAAGGGGGCCUGGACUAAAUUUAUUUCUGCAACAGGAUGAUAGCUUAAAUUUUGUGAUAAUUUUGGAAUAGCUCCAGCACCUACUGUUAAUUUUGCACAUAAAGCUUGAGUAAUUUUGCACAUGAAGCUUCAGUAUUUUAGCAGAUGAAGCUUUUGCUACUGUUAUUCUUGUCAUGAAUCUUCCACCAUUUUUCAGUAGCUUAAAUUUGACUUGGUGUAGUAAUCUUGGUGCUUAGGGCUGCUUAUAUCUCAUGCUAAUUGUUGCAUGAUUAGUUUCAGUAGUUUUAUAACAGCAGCAGUAGCACAAAUUUAAUUGAAUUCAAUAAAAAUUUCCAGAUUCUCUUCUUGAUCUGUAAUAUUCAAUUAAAAUUACGAAGGGUUUCAGUUUAAUUAAAACUAAUGGAAACCUUUUCGGUUAAUCAUGUUGUUUACUAUAGUAAUAGAGUAAGUAAUUUAGUGUAGAGGCUUGCUGUUAGUAGAAGAGUAAGUAAUUAAUUCCAGUUGUUUACUAUUAACGCGUAGAGGCUUGCUGUUAGUAGUAGAGUAAGUAAUUCAACUUUCUUGAUUCACUGCAAGUUGGAUGGAGGAUGUUGCUGUGGCACUUGUAUAUUAAUGUUGCUACAGAGUUAACAGAAACAAGUUAGAUGAUUGUUGAUUCUUGAUUGUGUGAACAUUAUAACACUCGUAUAUUAAUGUUGCUGUGACACUCGUAUAUUAUUGUUUUCUUGAUUCUUGAUUCACAGAUUCUCUGCAAUUACCUAAAUGAUUGUUGUGUUUCACAAUUCAGUGUCAAAAUCAACGGACAUUGAAGUUAUAUUUCAUAUUUGGAUUCUUGUUAACAAAAACAAGUUACAUCAAAUGGCAUUGUGAAGCUUUCAGUAAAACUGUCAAGCAACUUAUUGUUCUAAUAGUAAUUUAGGAAUAACAAGUGACUGAUUUAAACAAUUUCGUAACCUCAUUAGUAGUAUAAUAAAUAGAAAGUGCCAAGUAUAGUAGCAUACCCAGAUUAUGUGAACUCCUGCAUAACAGCGGCAGUCUCUCGGACAAGCUGGGUCACCGGGAUGGUUUCCUGCAUUUGGAAAUGAAUAUUAAUCAGGAAACAUAUAUUUGCUAGGGAUGAAAUUGUAGUCCCAAUCUUUGAUUCAUUGCAAAUUGCAGUUCCAAUCUCUGAUUCACUGCGACCUUCAGGAUGCAUUUACUUAUUGCAAGUGAAGCAUCCUAUAUUAUUCUCAUUGCAGUGUACACAGUCUGCUCGCACGAAAUCUGUUUUGUUUCAUGCAAGAAGUCAAGAACUAUCAUCCAGCUUGAAUUUUUGGGGAUCAUUGUUCACACCUUACAAUUGCUUUGCAGGAUAACAUUCACCCUGACUGUGUAGCACUGCAGUAUGGCUACGGUGACUGGCCUGUGCCUCAGGCUUAAGUUGAUGCAAAACCUGCGCGACUUGGUGAGGCUGAGGCCAUCACUGAGGCUGGAUACAUGCAUGUGGACACAGCCACGGCCACAGCUCUCCGGAAACCAAGACGGCGACAACGUCGACGGGAUCCUCGGACAACCUGCGUCCUUCUGCCUGUGUCCUUCCCCUACCACGCCCGCGACCUGCAUCCAGCUGCUCCUGCCUCGGCCCUCCUCAACUUGGCUCCUGGUGAGCUGCUGUAGAUAUUUUGCGUAAAUUCAAGAUGAAAGAGGUUCAAAGAAGCUCCAAGACAUUCUUAUAUAGCAAGUUAUGUAAUAAUAGCUGGAUUAUCUCGGCAUUGUGAACUCUAGAAUUUCAUGUAUCUUCUCUCUGUAUCUGAAUGAAAUGUUGUAUAUUUCAGAUUUACAAUUUCUGUUUCAUAUGAAAUAGUAAUUAUGCAUGUGAUUUGAAAA